rnacentral:lncRNA from 1 species
ACCUCCUCUAAAUCUAACGCCCUGCUCAGUUCUAGAGGGGACAGCGCCCUCUGUCCUCCUGGCCGUUUUCCUGAACUCCUAACCUCAGUCAAUACUGCCUCGGGACCUGGCGCUGCCUGGGAGAUCCAGAAGAAAGGAAGCAUCUUGGCCCCUGCCUUGGGGGCGACACGACCGUCCCCAAACACAGCGAGUCACUGGCCUGGGUCUUUGUGCAGAGGCCCCUCUAGGAGCGGGGAACCAACGAUGGCACGAACAUUGAUUUGAGGAGGAUGCUUCGCAGUUUACGAAAAAAUGAGUGCUAGAGGCGUUCAGAAACGGGAAAGAUCACUUUGUGCUCCUGUGAUCUGAAGGCUGCGUGAAGAAGAUGAGGCUUGGAAAAUAGGUGAUUCUCACAAGAAGGCUUCAAUAAUCUCCAUGUUAGAGAUGAAGAGACUCAAGUAACUGAAAGUUACUUAAGGCCAAUGGGGACCCUGUGCAGCUAUAUAUCCAGUGUCCCAAGCACUGUGUCUGGCAUGUUAGUAAACAUGUUUCAUAGGACUUACCACAUUACAGGACAGACCACAGUGCAUGUCUGUCUGCUCCAACAGAAGUGGCUUUCUUGAGGGAAGGAAUUCUGCCUUGUUCAACUUUAUAUUCCCCCACAGUGCCUUGCAGAAAGUAGGAGCCCAGAAAAUGUGUACUGAAUUGCUCAGAAUUGUGUGGUGAGGUAGAAAGUAUUGCUUAAUCUCUCCGAGACCUCAAUUUCCUUAUUUGUAAAUUAAACUGCUGAUUAAUUUCUAAA